CCUACGGGAGGCAGCAGUGGGGAAUUUUGGACAAUGGGCGCAAGCCUGAUCCAGCCAUGCCGCGUGCGGGAAGAAGGCCUUCGGGUUGUAAACCGCUUUUGUCAGGGAAGAAAAGGUUCUGGUUAAUACCUGGGACUCAUGACGGUACCUGAAGAAUAAGCACCGGCUAACUACGUGCCAGCAGCCGCGGUAAUACGUAGGGUGCAAGCGUUAAUCGGAAUUACUGGGCGUAAAGCGUGCGCAGGCGGUUAUGCAAGACAGAGGUGAAAUCCCCGGGCUCAACCUGGGAACUGCCUUUGUGACUGCAUAGCUAGAGUGCGGCAGAGGGGGGAUGGAAUUCCGCGUGUAGCAGUGAAAUGCGUAGAUAUGCGGAGGAACACCGAUGGCGAAGGCAAUCCCCUGGGCCUGCACUGACGCUCAUGCACGAAAGCGUGGGGAGCAAACAGGAUUAGAUACCCUGGUACGUCCACGCCCUAAACGAUGUCAACUGGUUAGUUGGGAGGGUUUCUUCUCAGUAACGUAGCUAACGCGUGAAGUUGACCGCCUGGGGAGUACGGCCGCAGGUUGAAACCUUAAAGUGAAGUUGACGG
rnacentral:rRNA from 1 species